rnacentral:lncRNA from 1 species
UUCUCCUCUGGGAGCACUCCCAUGUAACCUUCAAGGCCCAGUUCAGAAGUCACCUCCUCUGUGGAGACUUCCAGGAUGGCACCCUUCCCUGCCCCCAGAGCAAUGACAGCCGCAGUGACAGCAGAUCUGCGUCUCCAGAGCUCCAUCCCCACAGCCAGCACCGCAUGAAUCAUGCAGUCUUGUAAUUCACAUGUGUACAGUCCUCCCACCAGAUCCUGAACUUGGUCAGGGCAGCAUAUGUGGUUGAUUCAUCCCUGGGGCCCCCGUGCUGGGCGCAGAGCCUGGCAUGGUGUGGCAGGGGUGCAGGCUAUUUGAGGAAGCGACUGGAGGUUGGUAGGGCCCAGCUCAAGUAGGGCCUUGUGGAAGACCUCAGUUUCCUCCUCUCUAAAGGACAGAGGGCUUAGAGCAGAGUCUGAGGGUUUUCAGGCCUGACACGCUGAGCGUCUAAGAAUCUCUAUUCUAAGAAAUAGACCUGGGCUGUGUGAGGUACCCUUUUUGGAAGAUGUGAAAGAUGGCUGCCUAGAGUCCCCCAAAGGCUUAAAUCUGGGUGGACCUCCUGGGUGGUCUAUCUCGGACAUCCUUCUCAAGAUGGGGGCCUCUUUUGGGCAGGUGGGUUUCAGGACCAAUGCGCUUUGUGAUGGUGCCUCUCGAGACAGUCACAGCCUGGGUGGGCCAUAUCAGCAGAGUCCCCACUGGGGGCUGUCUAUCUCAGAGGAGCCCCUCCCGGGCCAUCCAUCUAAGGACAGGUCCCUCCUGGAUUCCCCGGGGCCGGGCUGGGUGGGCUGCGCCUCUCUCACCCGCAGCUGGUCCUCGGGCAGGUCGCUACCAUUGUUGAUGCCGCGGUUCAUGGACACAAAGCGCUCGAAAGGCGGCCUGUCCCGGACGUUGGGAUUGUGGAGGCUGGUGUUGAGCAUGAUGAUGGAGAAGGACAACACGUAGCAGGUGUCUGUGGAGGGGACAGCGGUCACAGUUCUGGCCCUGGCCACUCUCCCUGCCUCUGUCCUGGCCCCUUCCAGGGCCCAGAACUGCUAUUGCAAGGCCCCGAAGGUCCACCUUGUCCUCCUGGCUUGGGCUUUGAGGCCCAGCCUCCUCUCCCUUCCCACUCUUGCUGGUCCCCACCCCCUCUUAAACUAACCUCAGCCUCUUUUUCUGAGCCCCUUCCUACCUCCGCGCUUACGCUCCUGCUGGAUCCCCUGCCAGGCCUGCCCUUCCUUCCCUCCUCUCUGCUUCAAUCCUCCUUCUCGCUCAGCCACGGCUCAGGACCUCCUCCCCGCAGAGCCCUUCCAGCCCCCUGCCCACUCUGUUCUCUGCCUCUCGGAACUCGGAGAAGAACACUCAUUGUUAGCGGCGCUGUUCAGGGCUGAGCCACUGCUGCUCUGUAAUCUUGCUGGCGUUCCUCCUGAGCCCCAGCGCCUCUCCCAUUAUUCAGACUUUCAAGCGCUCAGGAGGGAGGGCUGGACUGAUGGCUGGGGAGGGAAGUAAUUGCUACUCUGGCGAGGUCUUUUGUCGAGUAUUUGGGCCCUGGAUCCAGAGCCAGGGAAGUUCAGCUGCGUCUUCAACUCUCUGGUUGACCUUGGGAAGUACUUGACCUCUCUGACCUUCAGCUUCCCCAUCCUUGACAUUCAGAGGUUAAUCUUUGAAGUAACUGCCUGUUCUGGAACAUCAAUGUUUCCAUCUCUGAUAGCAGUGGCACCGAGCGUUGUUGGUGCUUGCUCUGUGCUAAGCUCUCACAUCCCCAUGCCCAUCCUUUGAGGCAGGUCUUGCUAUCACUCCCAUUUUACAGAUGAGGAAACCGAAGCACAGGAAGUUAAGCUAUAUGCCCAACAUUACAAAAUUAAGAAGUAAUUGGACCGUGAUUCAAAUCUGGUGCUUUAAGAUGCCUUCUUUCCUACCUACAACUAUUUAUUGAGUACAUACUCUGUGCUGUGGGCCUGGGAGUCAUUGAUGAUGGGUCUGACAGGGUCCCUGCCCUUGCAGGACGUUUAGACUUGUAACAGAUAAUAAACAAGCAAACAAACACUAAAUUAAGAUCUAACCACAAAGUAGGGCAAAUGUUCUGGGAGGUUUGUCCAUGGACACAGCCGGGAGGUGGCGUGCUCGCAGACAAGUCAUUUUAUCUCUCUGAAGCUAUAUUCCAUGCGUGAGGGAGGGAUAAGAAGACUACUGACCUCAAACGGUUGAUGUAUGGAUUGAGUAACUUUGGCUUGGCAUGGUGGCUCACGCCUGUAAUCUCAGCACUGUGGGAGGCCAAGGUGGGCAGAUCACCUGAGGUCAGGAGUUCGAGACCAGCCUGUCUAACAUGGUGAAACCCCGUCUCUACUAAAAAUACAAAAAAUUAGCCAGGCAUGGUGGUGGGAGCCUGUAAUCCCAGCUACUUGGGAGGCUGAGGCAGGAGAAUUGCAUGAACCCGGGAGGCGNNNNNNNNNNNNNNNNNNNNNNNNNNNNNNNNNNNNNNNNNNNNNNNNNNNNNNNNNNNNNNNNNNNNNNNNNNNNNNNAAAAAAAAAAAAAAAAAAAGAAGGAUUGAGUGACUUUGCCUGUGUAAAGCACUCAGCGCAUAGGGAUAGGGAUUACUCAAUAUACAGGGUUGGUUAUUGUUGUUAUGACAACUAGAUCCAGAGAAGAGGCCAGGAUGGUCCCUCGCCCACCCUGUCCUCUGGAUGUCUUCACAUGGGCAUUGGGUUAGCCCUGGGAGAGAGGGCUAUGGAGGACUGACCUUUAUGUAUCUCCUUCUAUGCCCCUUUUGCCCCCUACACCCUGCCCAGGCCGCUUCAUGCUUCUGGGCCUUUGUUCCAACUGAAACUCCUGCCAAAAAGGCCCUUUCUCCCCUUAACCUCCUGGAAAACUCCUAUUCAUCCUUCAAAACCCCAUUCAGACCUCACCGCCUCUGAGAAGCCAUCUUGGACAUGCUGAUUCCCUUACUCCUGCCCUCAGAAAGGGGUGCUGCUGCCUUAGCCUUAGCAUCCUGUGCCAUCGUCUCCUGCCUGCUCUCCUAAGAACUGUGUCUCAAGGCAGCUCUGUCAGACAAGCACCCAGCAGCAAUGAAGUCAGUGCUCAGUGAGGGCUCGUGAAGGGGUCUGGGCUGCCAGGGUCUGGGUACCUGGGGGAAACCUGAGGGGGUCUGUGAAAUCUAUGCCUGGCAAUGCUGAAGGGGUCCUAGAGCCCUGGGUCCCACCCCCCUCCUGGCACCUGUGGACUGGAAGACGCCUGGGUUGCAGAGGCAGUAUCGAGUGGCAAAGGCCUCCAUCAUCCGGUCUAUCUUCUGGGCCUCGCCCGGCAGCCGGAAGCUCCACAGGAACUGCCUGGGGGAGAAACGGGGCCACGGGCAGUGGAGUGGGUGGGCUCCCGUGGGCUCCAGACAAGCUGCCCUGCCUCUCCCAGGUUUAGUCUCUGUAUCCUGUAAAUGGGGGAAUCUGCAACUGUCAUCUGGGCUCACGGGGAAGUGGGAUGGGCAGCAGGGAGCCCCAAGCACGUGGGAGGUAGCCAAGAAAUGCCUUUUCUUGCAGAAUACGGAACUAAGCACACGCCCGGCUCUGCAGGUCUGAAUCCCAGCACUGACUACAGCCCAGUCUACCUCAGCUGGAAAGGGGGACGGCCUCUGCCUGCCCCGGGGUCUGUGGCUCCCUGCACCUGGCCUUUGGGCCCUGAGAUCUGGCUGUGGGACCUAGUUGGGGAAGGGGUGGGGCAGGGGUUUCGCCUUGCUAGGGCUCCCUUUCUUGGAUCCUCGACUUCCCUCUAGCUCUGGAAGUUGGUGGUUUCGACAGCUUCAAGCUAAGUUCUCUGAAGGUGAGAACUGGGCCUGUAUCUCUCACUUCUCCUCCUGGGCUUCACACAGUCCUGGGCACCUAGUAAUGGCUCAGUAAAUAAGUGAAUGAAUGAAUGAAAGAAUGAAUAUGGGAGACUCCCAAGUCACCUACCCCUCUCCCUUAAAGAGCUGGGAGUUAGAGAACACUGGAUGGUGGUGGCUUCUUCCUUCUCUGUACUGUGAACUCCUACUCACCCUCCCAAGCCCAGAUCAGAUGCUCCUUCUCGGAAUCUGAGUUUUCAAGCAGCAUCAAGACUUACUAAGCACUCACUGUGGACCAGUUUUAAACACUUUCCCAUUUAGUCUUCACAACCCUGUGAAGUUGGUACUAUUAUUAUCCCCAUUCUACGGAUGAGGAAACUGGGGCACAGGAAGGUUUAUUUAUUUUUUUGUGAGACAGAGCCUCACUCUGUUNNNNNNNNNNCUCCUGGGCUCAAGUGAUCCUCCCACCUCAGCCUCCCAGCCCCAGUAGCUGGGACCACAGGCAUGCACCACUACGCCUGGCUAAUUUUUUUUUUUUUUUUUUUUUUUUGUAGAGACCAGGUUUCACCAUGUUGCCCAGGCUGGUCUCAAACUCCUGGACUCACGUUAUUCACCCGCCUCGGCUUCCUGAAGUUCUGGCAUUACAGACGUGAGCCACUACACCCAACUAGAAAAACCUUCUUAACCCAUGUGUUACUGAACCUUGAUUUUGUUUUAUUUUAAUUUUUUAUUUUUGAGACAGAGUCUCACUCUGUCGCCCAGGCUGGAGUACAGUGGCAUGAUCUUGUCUCACUACAACCUCCACCUCCCAGGUUCAGGUGAUUCUCCUGCCUCAGCCUCCCGAGUAGCUGGGAUUACAGGCGCCCGCUACCACACCCGGCUAAUUUUUGUAUUUGGUGCAUGUGUAUGGCUUGCUUAAGGUCACACGGGGGUGAGCAGCAGACCUGGGAUUUGAACUGUAUAGUCUGGCUCCAGAGUUUGUGCUUCAAACUGAUAAUUGUACUGCCUCUGUAGUUGUAAAAAUGAGUAUCAAAAACAGUACCCUAAUUAGAAGCUAAUAAGUCAUAAUAAUUGGAAUACAUGCUAAGCAGUCUUAUAAAAUAAAUAAAACAUGCACUAAUCCAAAAAGUAGGAGAAUGACCAUAAUAAAGUAAUAAUGAUUAGAAUGAUUAAAUAUGGGCGUGAUAGAAUUCUAACUAAGAAGGCAGUAUUUGCUAUUUGCAAGGAACUAGGCCCUUUCCCAGGCGGUCCAGCUCAGCUCUGUGAGGCAGUACUAUCAUGAAGUCAUUCUUGUUCCUUGCCUCCUCUUCUUUGCUCCCAACCCUUUGUUUGUGCUGUCAGCUAUGUGGAUCGCGACACCCCCAGCCACUGGGGCUGUGCCACCCUUGAGGGCCGGGACCCUGCCCCAGGACUACUCACCUGAGGGCCUGGACGAGGUUGAGGUUGGCGAACUCGUGGCAGUCCACGAAGGCCUGGAGGACCUGCAGGUUGAUGGGAUCCCUGGGGGAGGGGGCGGAAGGGAGGGUGGGACACACUUGGAUACUUGCUGGCACCCACCUCCUGGAGGGGGUUGAGGUGGGGGAGGGAGAGGACAGAGACAUCUGUCCUUCUGGGGUCCAGCUGCCAUCUGGUGUGUUCACAUCUGUCCCACCCAUAUAACACCCCGAGGGCACACCCUUGUCCUCCCAUGCAGGAACACACACCUUCACGGCUCACCAGCGCUGGUCUGGCCUGGGAGGGGAGCCCUGGCUUUGGAGCGGCCUGCCCUCAGUCCAGGCCUUCCUCAUUUCCUGUAACUUCCCACCUGGUGACCUCGCGGAAGCCACUUGACCUUCCCAGCCCCAGCUUCCUCAUCUGUACAAGGGAGAGAAGCUGACCUCCCCCAUCUCCUCCCUCUCCCCAGCUCCUGAAGCAGGAAGGUGCCCUUCUCACCAUCUGCAUCCCCUGCUCACCGCGGGAGGGAGGGGUGUCCUUGGGAGCUGGGGAGAGGGCUGUUGACUCUCUGGUCCAGCUUCACCCCUAUCCACUCACCCACCCCUCAGACCAGUCCUUUGCCCAGAGCGCUCCCACAGAUCCCCACCUCCUCGCCCACUACAUCCUUCCUCUCUCCUCCCAUCCAGUCUAGAUUCUUGAGCCUGUUUCUGACCCCAGGGCCUUUUUACUUGCUACUCCUGGACCGCUCCUCCCCCAGAUGUCUGUACUGCUUAUGCCCUCACCUCUUUUACGUUUUGGUCAAAUGUCACCUUCUCCAUGAGACCCUUCCUGUCCACGCUAUUCUAAAUCACAGCCCCCAACCUAUGGUCCCCAGCAUGUCUUUCUUUCUUUCUUUUCUUUUUUUUUUUUUUUUUGAGACGGAGUCUCGUUCUCAAUCUGUUGCCCAGGCUGGAGUGCAAUGGCGUGAUCUUGGCUCACUGCAACCUCCGACUCCCAGGCUCAAGCGAUUCCCCUGCUUCAGCCUCCUGAGUAACUGGGACUACAGGCACCCGCCACCACAUCCGGCUAAUUUUUGUAUUUUUAGUAGAGACGGGGUUUCACCAUGUUGGCUAGGCUGAUCNNNNNNNNNNNNNNNNNNNCGUGAUCUGCCCGCCUCGCCCUCCCAAAGUGCUGGGAUUACAGGCAUGAGCCCCGAGCCUGGCUGGUCCCCGGCAUUUCUGACUUCCCUUCCCUGCUUGAUUUGUAUUCCACAGAGCUUAUCAUUCUCUAACAUAUUUUACAUCUAUCGAGACCUGUCUCUCCCACUAGCGUGGACUUCCUGAGGACAAGAGUUUUGUCUGUCUUAUUCAUUGGUGUACACCCAGGGCUUAGGAUGGUGCCUGGAACACAGUAGACCCUGAGCAACAUUUAUUUGUUGAAUAAAUGACUAAAUGAAUGAAGGCAGUCAGGCUUUGACUCAGAAUCUGGAGAGGAUGAUCCGUGAGCCCCUCAAGCACUAGGAGUGAUGACUUUGCUAACAUAAUUCAUCCUCUCACCUGCACAUCCACACACCUGUACACACCUGCACACCUUCAUUUCCUGCCUCGCUAAGGCUCCACUCAUUCUUACCUCUCCCCCAGGUAGGUACCAAUGGCUGUCUUGUUGAGGCCCUCGCCUUUAUACAGGAACCGUGCAAUGUCCUGGAUGUCAGGGGUCAGCAGCUUGUGCUCAAUGAAAUACUGGAUACCCUGGAGGGGGUACAUAGAAGCGGUGAGCAGCUGCUGCAUGGAAGCAGGCCUGGGAGGGGGAAGGGAGGAAGGAGCUUCCAUGGCCAGAAUCCUGGAGCCUGGCAUUCUGGUGUUGGCACAGUCUGUUCUGGGAAGUUUUGGCCCCUCUUUCAUAGGAGCUGCCUUUGGGAUGUGGUGAGUUCCCCAUCACUGGAGGCAUGCAAAGAAAGUCAGCUUUCCUGCCAUGAACCAGGUUCAUGCCAGGUACUCCCCAGGGUCCCCCUCAGUCUGACAUUCUUUGAUUAUAUGCUUCAGUGAUUCUAGGAAUUUUUGAUUCUGAGAUUCAAUGAUUCAGCCAUUUCUUUUGUUCCCCUAAAACUCAUAUUAUUUAAAAAUAGCGUUUCAUUCUUUCACACAAGUAAUCUAUGUCUAUUGUAUAAAAGUUAGAAAAAACCAGCUCAAUCCAAAGGGGAGGAAAUUGCCCGGGCCCUACCACUCGGAGGCAGACAGCUUCCGUCGUGGUGACCUUCCUUCCCUUUCUAUGUGAAAAUGGGCUCAGACCAUGCCUGUCACAUUUAAAUCUGUUUUUCGGAUUUGACAAUAUCACAAGCAUCUCUCUUCACCACCAAGGCACUCAGAGUUUGUCAUCCUAGUUUUAGGAGUUGGAGGGGUUGGUCUCUGGCUCUCCGUGAAGAUUCCUCUGUGUUCCACUGCUGGAAAUUGGGCGCAGGCCACGAGGGCCCAGUGACAGGCAGAGGAUGCAGAGGACACCCCUGGGUGCUGGGUGGGGUGACAGUGUGAGCCUGCGGGGGUCUCUGUGGGUAGGAGCAGGAGUCCAAGGGUCUGUAGCCAUGAGAGGUGAAUGGUUAUAACACUUUGGGCCUGUGAUGGGGACAGGGAGCCUUCUAAGCCAGAGCAGUAAAUUUCCAGGGACCCCAGCUUGGUGCUCUCUGCUGGCCACCUGACCCCACCUCGGUGUGUCUGCCUGCGGUUUCCUUCUGUCUCCGUCCUUUCAGGAUGGAAGCCCAGCUGCCACCUGGUGGGGUGAGGCCAGGGGCUUGGGAGUGGUGUGGGGGAUUGAGGUAACCCAGCCCUGAGCUGCUGCUCCUACUAGCAGAGGGGUGGGCGGUGGGACCGCAGGACUGGCCCUCCCUGAGCCCAGGGCUGGAAGAUGCUUCUGGAGCCUAUGCCCCAGAUCCAAGAGCUCCACUGUCCCAAGCCACAUUCAUGGAGAAGGAAAUGGAGGCCCAGAGUGGGGAAGGGACUAGGCCAAGUGCAUGGACACCGUGGCCUCCUCCAUGCUCCUGGCUCCUCCUGCCCCAGGGCAUGUAUGCCUGGGAGUAGACAGGGUGCCCAGCCACAGCUGGCCAUGGGGCACUGGACAAAAUGCUCAGUUCUGCUGGGCCCAGCUUCCUCCUCUGGAAAGGGGUGGUGUCAGCCAAGGGGAGCGAGAGGACACUGGGCAGGUGCUCCCAUGCAGCCCCCACACCCUGUGGCCCGGGCCCUCCACAGCCACCUACCUUGGCGGGGUCCAUGUUGAACUUCUUGCGCCCAAUACACAGCUCCUUCUCCUUCUGGGCCAUCCGGCUGUGGACAUGAGGACGUCAGCUUAGGCUGCCCCAGGACCCUGAAUUACCCUCUCCACUCCCCAAGGACCCUUGCCUCAGCAGGAGCCCAUACCCCUCUAGGGCCCUCCAAGUGUGGCCUCCAGGUCCUGCAUGGGAACCACCUGGGCGGGAGAGAGCGGUGCAAGGCCUGGCUCCUCCCAGAGCUCUGCAGCUGACUUCUCUGAUGGACCCAGCACGGGCAUUUAGCAGCUUGCAGGACCCCGGAGCUGCCGUGUGGGAGAAGGUGGAGGGGCCUUGUGCAAGAAACUGGGGGAGGGGGCGAGGGCUGAGCGCGCAGGUGCUGGAGCCAGGCUCCUGGAUGCGAAUCUGAGCCGGGCUGCUUUGGGCGAGUCACUUCCUCUCUCUGGGCCUCAGGUUCCUCAUCUAUAAAAUGGAGGUGACACCACCACCUGCCUCCCAGCAUUGUUGAGAGGUUAAAGCACCUAAAACAGUGAGGCGUAGGUGUGUUAUGUUGUCAUUGUUGUGGCUGGAACAGGGGAGCUGGAGAAACGGCCACUCGUGUGUGUGUGCAUGCUUGUGUGUGUGUGUGUGCAUGCUUGUGUGUGUGUGUGCAUGCUUGUGUGUGUGUGUGCAUGCUUGUGUGUGUGCAUGCUUGUGUGUGUGUGCAUGCAUGUGUCUGUGUGCAUGUGUGUGGUGGGGGAGGGGAGGAGGCUGGACAGGUGGAGACCUAAGGAGUGGCGGGCGCAGGUUGGGAAAUUCCCAGGACAUCGUGUGUCAGAGUCAGUGCCCUGGGGCCCUAGGAGACUGUGUAGCAACCAACCUUCUUGUUGCACAGAUGGGGAAACUGAGACCCAGAGAGGGACAGGAUCUGUCCCAGAUCACAAAAUAGUGGGAGUUUUCCACAGAGGCAGUGGGCGUGGCCGGCCCCGGGUUAGUGGUGAGUGGGGUGGGGUAGGGCCAGGCUCCUGUCCUCCUGGGGUCCUCGGCUUCCUUGUCCUUGCCCUUGGGGCUGAGCUUCCCUUCUCCCCGCCCAUCCCAGGGUGGAUGUGGCCAGUGAUCGGUCAGGGCUGGACCACAGUGGGUCAGGAGAGACUUUGGGUUGGGGGAGGGGAGGACGCAGUGUCUCUCAAGAGAGGGUCAGCCUGGGAGCAGGGACCAGACCUGGGAUGGGGCCGGGGCCACCCUGUUCCGGUCUCGUUGCUGCCUCCUUCUCCCUGGCCAAUCCCUGAUUUCACCAGGCCCAGGGGGCUGGGAGUGGCCCCUGCUCAUUCAAGGUGUAUGACAUCCUUGGGAAGCAACCAUGGCAGCUUCUGGGGGUCCCCACCCAAGCCCCUCACCUCUCCUCCGCACUCUCGAAGCAGUCGAUUUGGGCAAACACAUCUGCGAUCUCAUCCUUCAGCUUCUGUGGGGUGGCAGGGGCAGGACAGGGAGAGUCAGGGGUGGAGGCCAGAACCCCAGGGGUUUAAGACUACAAUGACCACUCCUACCCCUGGGCACAACUCUCAAACCUGGCCCCUCUCCCUGACCUCUGUCCUGAGUCCCCAGUCUGAGGGACCCUCCAUGGACAGGUCCCCUCCCUGGAUGUCUCAUAAUUUCUAAGUUGCAUGCUAAACUAUCACCUCUGUCUGCACCCAUGCCUCCACUUGUCUUGGGGAGUGGGAUUCCCCAAGCCCCCACCCCUUGCCCAUCCUAUUUCCAACCUUCCCAUCUCUCCCCUCUGCAGCCAUGAAGUCUCCUGCACUCUAGCCGAGCCUACCCGACAAGCCGGCCUCCCCACUGCCCGCCUCCCCCCGCCCACCUCCCCCGUCAGCUCCUGUUCAUGCCAUCUUGGCAGAGCCACUGAGUGGUUGCCCCACAAAUACAAUGGAGAUUCAUUCGCAAGUAUUAACUGAGCACCUAUUAAUGCUGCACCCAGCGGGCUGGGGAUGCGGUGGUGAGCAAGACAGACUUCGGCUCUGUGUUCAUGAGGGCACAGUCUGGUGGGGCUGGGAUCAUGGGUGGUCAUAGGGUAAUUGGAAUGACUAUGCAGAACACCGUCAGAGCAAGGUAGAGAAAGCCUGGCGUACAGUAGGUACUCAAUGAAACAGCAGCUGAGUGAAUAAUUUUGUGCCUUCAUUUCCUCACUGAAAUCCUAAGUUUAUGUGCAUGGGAGUGGGGGUGGGCACAGCCACUGCAGCCCAGGCAGAGGGGACUGCGAGUGCAAAGGCCCAGGGGCAGUGCUGAGCAAGGCACAUUCCAGGAACAGAACCCAGCCUGUCUCAGAAGCUGCUGACCCAGAUGAGCUGACAUCUGAGUCUGAUUGGUGAAGUGGUAAGUGCAGGGCACAUACUGGGAGUUAUCUUGACCAGGUGGUCUACACUCUGUAGGAGUGAGACCUGGCUGAAACUUCACCACAGGGGUCAGAGCCUGCCCUGUGACAAAGCAAGUAAAGGCCAGGAUGGGGCUCGGCACACGGUGGGUGCCUAAUUGGAUCGCUGCCUCCCUCCCCGGCUCUCCCAGUUCUCCCUGGGUCUCGGGGUGUCUGCAGUCUUGUUGUUCUCCCUGCUCCUGGGGCUGGGGCCAAGGCUGAUAUGGGCCAGAGUUGGCCACACUGUCUGUUGACCAGGCUGGGUCAGGAGCUGGUGGGGUGCGUACAAGCGUGCGUACAAGGAGUGUCUGCUUAUGGGCGCCUGCAGCGUGGUGUGUGUGGGCAUGGACACGUGUGUGGACACGAGUGUGCACUCACCUGGAUGUCCUCUAGGAGCUGCUUUCGGUGCCACUUGAUCCUCUGUAACUCUUCCGUCUCCCCACUGCUCAGCUCCGCGGGCUCUACAGAGAGACAACCGGCCUUCCCCAUCACUUGGCUCCAGCCACACCCACUUGCCCUCACUUCUGCAGGGCCCCCUUCCCUCCGGAAACUCAGGACUUGCCCUAUUCACAGAGGCCCACCUCCUCCAGGAAGCCUCCCCUGACUGCCCUGUCUAAAGCAGCCCCUGCUCCCUCCCCUCCUGCCCUGCUUCCUGUUUCUCCCACCCCCCUGGAUAGACACCCCCAAAAGGAUCUUGUUUCCUUGCAUCUUUUCUGUCCCUCCCGCUAGACUCUCAGCUCCGUGAGAAUUCAGUUGUUCUACUCUUUUGCUCACUACUGUGUCCCCAGCACCUAGAAAGAGUCUGACAUGUCAUAAGCACUCAGUUAAACACUCGCUGAAGGCAUGCAUUCCUUCCCCGGAACUUGAAUCUCCUCCUCCACUGGCUCAUGGGCUCAUUAUUUAUUCACUUAUUUAUUUGAACAACCAAGAAGUGGUAUACCAUUUUCCUCACAUCCCAUUGGCCAGAAUGUAGUCACGUGGCCACACCUAGCUGCAAGAGAGGCUGGGAAAUGAGCCUGUAGCAGGGUGGUCCUGAUGUCCUUACUAUGUAAAAUGGGGAGGCUGGAUUUGGGGGAUAUUUUAUAGUCCCUGCCCCUGGAUACUGGGGCUCAGAGAGGUGAGGUGACUCAACCCACAGGGAAAAGGUCGCUGAGCCAGGAUGGGACCUUGAAUUGGGCUGACUCCAAAGCCUGUGCUCUUUCAUCUCCACUUGGAAAUGAAUUAAAUGAAAUAAGAUUUGUGUGUGCUGGCAUUCUAUGCAAGGUGCUGUGAUGAUGCCAACAACUAGGUCAGCUGUCCUAUCUUCAUGCUUCAUGGUGGCUUCUGUUUCAUCCACAACACUCUCCUUCUCUGAGUAAUAUGGCCUCCCUAUUACUCAGAGAGAAAGUCUUCAUCCUGGGCCUGGGGCCUCCACAACCUCUCCAGCCUUGGCAGCCAGACUUAUUCCCUGCCAUUCCCAAAAAGAGCCUGCCAGUCCAGCCUGCCAGCUCCUCCCUGCUCCAGAGCCAUCCAGGACUCAGUCCCACUUCCCCAUGUUUGCCCAGGCCGCUCCUGUACUCUGGGAUGCCUUCUCCUGUCUGCCUGCCCAAAUCCUUGCUGACCUUCAAGUUCCAGCGUCGGGAAGUGCCUGGCCGCAUUUCUUAAAGGUUUUACAAGGAUAGACAUCAUUUCCCCCCAAAAACACAGAGGGAAUGUUGAGCGCUCCCUUUCCCUACUUCUCCUUCUCAUGAUUAAGCAGGCAUUGUGGAUGUUGAGAUUAAAGCCCCAUGCGGAGAUGGCGGGGCACCAGGCUAGAUGGAGCCCAGGUCCCCAGGCAGUGGUGUGGAGAAGACUCAUCACGUUCACCUGGCCCACCUAUCCAUUUGGACUUUUCAAUGAGAAAUAAAUCAGUUUUGAGAAUGUUUCGGUUGCUGUUAUUCUGAGUCUCUUUAAGCAGCUAAAUCUGAGAUAUACCUAAUACAGCAUCCUCAUCUGUGAAAUGUGAACCAUAACCCUUGCCUCACGGGGCAGCUGUCAGGAAGGAAAGAGCCACACUUUGUCAAACACCCAGCAAGAAUCCAACAUAUGCUGAGUCCCACAUGUGUACAACGGGUGCUGUGUGCAUCUGGCUCUUCUCUUCAGGACCAAGCCACCAUCCCCCCAGCUGCUGGGAGGAAAGCCUGCUGAUGGCUCACAGCUGAAUCCCUCCCCAGACACUAGCCUCAGCCAAAGGGAGGUGCCACACCCAGGAGUUCCCCUGACCAAGGGCAGCCACUGCAAUAAAAAGCCAAGUCCCGGUCAGGCGCGGUGGCUCACGCCUCUAAUCCCAGCACUUUGGGAGGCCGAGGCGGGCGGGUCACGAGGUCAGGAGAUCGAGACCAUCCUGGAUAACACAGUGAAACCCCAUCUCUACUAAAAAUACAAAAAAUUAGCCGGGCAUGGUGGUGGGCACCUGUAGUCCCAGGUACACCGGAGGAGGCUGAGGCAGGAGAAUGGCGUGAACCUGGGAGGCGGAGCUNNNNNNNNNNNNNNNNNNNNNNNNNNNNNNNNNNNNNNNNNNNNNNNNNNNNNNNNNNNNNNNNNNNNAGUGAGGCUCUGUCUCCAAAACAAAACAAAGCAAACAAAAAAACCCAAGACCCCUUGCCUGGUUUCAGGACCUGCCCCAGUUUUCAGAUCCAGAACCUCGGGACUGAAGGAGAGGCUGGGUUCCAAGGGAAGAGUCCUGCAACAUUGUGGCAAGUAUAUAUGGCAAUGACUCCCUGGCUCCACAUUAAAACACCUGUGGCCAUUCACUCCAGCAACUGUACACUGGGGAAAGAGGAAUAUCCAAACAUUGGACACAGGAUCCAAGUUGACAUCAGCGCUCGAGACUGAAGUGUCUUCAAGGCCACAUUUGAGUGGGGGUACAUAGAGACCAGGUGGUAAAUGAAGUCCUUCCAGGUCCAGCUCACUAGGGGUCUGCUUGAUUCAUGGCCACUUUCCUGGCCUACAGAUGUAGAAUUGGAAUGGACAUCGCUGGUACUUGAGCCCAUAUUGGUACCUUGGCCCAUGGGGUCAGGAUCAUUGUAGUGGGAAUAGCUAUUUGGAAAUUUAUGAAGCUGACCCAUCAUCCCCACAGCGAAGAGACUAAAUAAAAAACUAUAUCCUGAGGGGAAUGGCAGGUGUGGGUGCCACUCUUGAGACCUAACGGAUGCAGGAGGAAUGGCCCUCGUCACAUACCCAAGCACUUCCCCAGUCCGGAGGAUGGCCUGCUUCUUCCAGCUGCUUCCUUCUAGCAGAGAAUUAUAUACUAUGCAGAAAACAGUUCCUGGAAUGGCACCGGGUCCUGGUAGAGAUAGAGUGCCAGCCCGCGGAACAUCAUGUAACUAAGUAGCCCAGAUGGCUCCAUCUGUCCCACUAAGUCAGAAGGUCAAGCGAGCCCAAUAGUAACCCUUUGUGAGUGGUAUGUCCAGGAGCAGGUGUAAGCAGAGCCAGAGGGCUCCAGUAGGCUCCAGGGAUAGGUGGCCCAGAUCCUCAUGUCACCGCUGCUGGUGGACCAGGGUCUAUCCCUCUGCUUACACCGUGACCACAUGGGUGGGUCCCUUAUGACUUUCUAACAACAGAGGAAAAUGCCCAAGGCUGGUUGCAGAAUGAGUUGGCUCAGAGUUUGGGCGCAAGUGAAAACCAGGCAGCUACUGAACUACAGUCCUGCUCAAAAGUGUCCUGGAAAGACAGUGAUGAGGGCAAGUCCUCCCAGGGGGCAGGGCUUCGGGCAGGGCACCUGGCCAUCCACUUCCCGUGGAAAGAGAAGUGACUUCUUGAAGUCAGAAUAUCCAUGCAUCAUGGGCAGUGGUGAAUGGCUUGACUUCUUGGUCAGAGGCAAGAAAGAAGGAAGAUGGGAAGAUCAGAAACACAGAUGUCAGGAGAAGAGGCAGGUGGAUGACCCCGUGGGAGCGGAAUGUCCACUCUGCCAGCAACAGGGACGCAUGCUGAGCCCAUCUUUUCUCCAGAAGACCAGGGGGCAAACUGAUUCCAUGAAACCCCUUCUAUUCUGCAAAAGUCAACAAUCUAUCUUGUCUGGAGUCAACAUGUGUUGGAAAUGUAUUUGCCUUUCCUGCCCACAGAGCCUCAGCCAGCACCACUAUCCAGAGGCUUAGGGUGUUUGACCCACCAACACAGCACACCACAUAACAUCACAGAAGACCAAGGGAUGCUCUCUACAGCAAAGGUGGUCUGAAGUGAGCACGUGGCCAUGAGAUCCACCGAUCCUCUCUAGCAUUUCAUCGGAAGGUGCUGGCCGAAUGGAAUGGAGCCAUGGGGCGGUCUUGAGAAGGUACAGCUGAGGUGUCAGCCUGGAGGUGAUAUCCACUUGGAUGCGGCGCCAUCCUCCAGGAGGUACCAUAUGCCCUAAAUCUACCACCACUGUGUGGUGCUCUGUCUCCAGCAGGUGGACCACAAGGGUCUAGGAACUGAGGGGUAGGAGUGGGAGUGGCCCCACCUGCCAUUCUCCUAGUGACCCACUCUGGAGUUUCCUUUUUUUUUUUGAGACAGUCUUGCUCUGUCACCCACGUUGGAGUGCAGUGACAUGAUCUUGGCUCACUGCAACCUCUGCCUCCCAGGUUCAAGCGAUUCUCCUGCCUCAGCCUCCCCAGUAGCUGGGAUCACAGGCAUGCACCACCAUGCCCGGCUAAUUUUUUAUUUAUGUAUUUNNNNNNNNNNNNNNNNNNNNNNNNNNNNNNNNNNNNNNNNNNNNNNNNNNNNNNNNNNNNNNNNNNNNNNNNNNNUGCCUCCCGGGCUCAAGGGAUUCUCCUGUCUCAGCCUCCUGAGCAGCUGGGACCACAGACAUGAGCCACCAUGCGCAGCCAAUCUCUGUAUUUUUAGUAGAGAUGGGUUUCACCAUGUUGGCCAGGAUGGUCUUGAUCUCUUGACCUCACAAUCUGUCCAUUUUGGCCUCCCAAAGUGCUGAGAUUACAGGCGUGAACCACCGCACCGGGCCAAUUUUUGUAUUUUUAAUAGAGACGGGGGUUUCACUAUGUUGGCCAGGCUGGUCUCGAACUCCUGACCUCAGGUGAUCCACCUGCCUUGGCCUCCCAAAGUGCUGGGAUUACAGGUGUGAGCCACUGUGCCCGGCCCACUCUGGAGUUUCUUUCUGUCUCUGUAGGUCUAGAGGUACUGUUUCCAGGAGGGAGUUGGCGGGGACACUUAUACCAGGGAACAAAGCAAGAGUCUCGUGACACGUUAAGCGCACAAACACCUACUCCAUGCCAGUCUCUGUAUAAGUGCUGUCAUUUAACCCUCUUUGAAGUAGGUAUUUUCCAGUUUGAGACACUGAGGCUUAGGAAGGCGAAGUGACUCGCCCCAGGUCUCAUGCACAGGAAGUGGCAGUGCUGGGAGCUGCACGCUUGUUUGCUGACCCCCACGCCUCUGCCCCAGGAGAGGUGGAUUCCCAAACUGCUUGGGACAUGCAGGGAUGGAAGGUGUAAGGGGCCACCUGUGUGGAGAUGCAGAGCAGGGACAGCCGGGGAGGCAGUGCUGGAAGCUGGUUCCGGAACUCUUCCGGCAGGAGCUGGUGGGGAGGCUGUCGGUCUCAUCCAUGGGAAAAAACCAAUCACCUUGGGUUGCCUUAGAGGUGAACAAUCCGAUUCUGUUUUGUUUUGUUUGUUGGCUUUAUACAGUUUUCCUGUUGGCUUGGGGUUGUGUUUCUGCCCAGGGUGCACCUGCUGGAGGAGGCUGAGUGGAUUCCAGACUGGCUGCUUGUCUGAGAGAAGCCAGGGUGGGCUCCAGCAUUCCUACGUUUGCUCCAAGGUGUGGAUGGCCAGAAGUGAGUGAUGGGGCUCCUGAAGCUCCUCCUAGGCCGACCUUCCUGGUCCCCACGGGGCUUCAUCAGCUCCUGGCUCCCACCUGCCUUCAGGGUCCAGGGAAUCAUUCACACAUCCUCUGUUCCAGCCCCUCCUCUGAGCUUCAGAUCCAACCAUCCCCUACGUAUUGGUCACCACCGCUCUUGUCAUUGUGCCCAAAAUUGAACUUCUAGAAUGCCCCCUCCUCCCCGUCCUCUUCCUGAAUUCCUGAGCUCUGGAAAUGGUCCACAUUUCCCCAGGAGGCACUCUGACUCCCACCU